rnacentral:rRNA from 1 species
GACGAACGCUGGCGGCGUGCUUAACACAUGCAAGUCGAACGGACAGGCUCUGCUUUUGUGGGGCGCUCGAGUGGCGAACGGGUGAGUAACACGUGUGUAACCUGCCCUUGCCUUUGGGAUAUCUUCAGGAUACCGGGGCCAAUCCCGGACAGGAGCUUCUGCUGCACGGUGGGGGUUGGCACGUCUCGGUGGUUGGGGAUGGACUCGCGGCCUCUCAGCUUGUUGGGGGGGUAGUGGCUUACCAAGGCUUUGAAGGGUAGCCGGCCUGAGAGGGUGACCUGCCACGUUGGGACUGGGAUACGGCCCAGACUCCUACGGGAGGCAACGGUGGGGAAGAUUGCACAGUAGGCGGAAGCCUGAUGCAGCAACGCCGCGUGCGGGAUGACGUCCUGCGGGUUGGAAACCACUGUCGCCUGUGACGAGGCGUUAGUGACGGUAAUGGAUAAAGAAGCACCGGCUAACUACGUG